rnacentral:rRNA from 1 species
AUUGAACGCUGGCGGCAGGCCUAACACAUGCAAGUCGAGCGGAUGACGGGAGCUUGCUCCUUGAUUCAGCGGCGGACGGGUGAGUAAUGCCUAGGAAUCUGCCUGGUAGUGGGGGACAACGUUUCGAAAGGAACGCUAAUACCGCAUACGUCCUACGGGAGAAAGCAGGGGACCUUCGGGCCUUGCGCUAUCAGAUGAGCCUAGGUCGGAUUAGCUAGUUGGUGAGGUAAUGGCUCACCAAGGCGACGAUCCGUAACUGGUCUGAGAGGAUGAUCAGUCACACUGGAACUGAGACACGGUCCAGACUCUUACGGGAGGCAGCAGUGGGGAAUAUUGGACAAUGGGCGAAAGCCUGAUCCAGCCAUGCCGCGUGUGUGAAGAAGGUCUUCGGAUUGUAAAGCACUUUAAGUUGGGAGGAAGGGUAGUAAGUUAAUACCUUGCUGCUUUGACGUUACCGACAGAAUAAGCACCGGCUAACUCUGUGCCAGCAGCCGCCGUAAAAC